AACACAGUGUUUCAAUUAGCAUAGCAUACUGCAGUAGAUGGGAUUUUAUUAGUAUUAAAACAGACGAGCUGUCUCACAGAAUCGUUUGGUAAUAAUCUUAAGAUCUGAGUACAGAGAAUAUUGCACUGAUAUCUGUCUUUUCUGGGCCUCUGAAUGCUUUUCAUGAACACAGACCUUUGGGAAGAAUCACGAUGAGGUCAUACAACUCCUCCAAAGUCUUACCCUGGAUGGAGAUGAACAGGAGGAGAUGGACAGGUUCCCACAGAUGCAUGAAACAGAAGAGGAGAUGGACUGUACACAGGAAGUGGACAUUGUCCAAUUAUUCCAGUGCCUGAAUCUGGAUGAACAUAUGGAAGGGAUG